rnacentral:rRNA from 1 species
CCUACGGGCCGCAGCAGUGGGGAACAUUGCACAAUGGGCGCAAGCCUGAUGCAGCCAUGCCGCGUGUGUGAAGAAGGCCUUCGGGUUGUAAAGCACUUUCAGCGGGGAGGAAGGCGUUAAGGUUAAUAACCUCAUCGAUUGACGUUACCCGCAGAAGUAGCACCGGCUAACUCCGUGCCAGCAGCCGCGGUAAUACGGAGGGUGCAAGCGUUAAUCGGAAUUACUGGGCGUAAAGCGCACGCAGGCGGUCUGUCAAGUCGGAUGUGAAAUCCCCGGGCUCAACCUGGGAACUGCAUUCGAAACUGGCAGGCUAGAGUCUUGUAGAAGGGGGUAGAAUUCCAGGUGUAGCGGUGAAAUGCGUAGUGAUCUGGAGGAAUACCGGUGGCGAAGGCGGCCCCCUGGACAAAGACUGACGCUCAGGUGCGAAAGCGUGGGGAGCAAACAGGAUUAGAUACCCCAGUAGUC